rnacentral:rRNA from 1 species
CCUACGGGUGGCAGCAGUGAGGAAUAUUGGUCAAUGGACGCAAGUCUGAACCAGCCACGCCGCGUGCAGGAAGACGGCUCUAUGAGUUGUAAACUGCUUUUGUACGAGGGUAAACGCAGAUACGUGUCUCUGUUUGAAAGUACCGUACGAAUACGGAUCGGCUAACUCCGUUCCAGCAGCCGCGGUAAUACGGAGGAUUCAAGCGUUAUCCGGAUUUAUUGGGUUUAAAGGGUGCGAAGGCGGUCGGAUAAGUUAGAGGGGAAAUCCCGGGGCUCAACUUCGGAAUUGCAUUUGAUACUGUUCGGCUGGAGAGUAGUAGCGGAAGGCGGAAUGGAUGGUGUAGCGGUGAAAUGCUUAGAGAUAAGACAGAACACCAGUGGCGAAGGCGGCUUACCAAGCUACAUCUGACGUUGAGGCACGAAAGCGUGGGGAGCAAACAGGAUUAGAUACCCGGGUAGUC